GAUCCUUUCGGAGACCUUCGAUAAAAUUGAAACGAUACAUCGAUCAUCAUGGCUUUUGCGCAAAGAUGACACACACAAAUCGAAAAACAGUCCAAAUUAAU